AUUGAACGCUGGCGGCAGGCCUAACACAUGCAAGUCGAGCGGGGUUUUCGGACCUAGCGGCGGACGGGUGAGUAAUGCGUAGGAAGCUACCCGAUAGAGGGGGAUACCAGUUGGAAACGACUGUUAAUACCGCAUAAAGUCUACGGACCAAAGUGUGGGACCUUCGGGCCACAUGCUAUCGGAUGCGCCUACGUGGGAUUAGCUAGUUGGUGGGGUAAUGGCUCACCAAGGCGACGAUCCCUAGCUGGUUUGAGAGGAUGAUCAGCCACACUGGAACUGAGACACGGUCCAGACUCCUACGGGAGGCAGCAGUGGGGAAUAUUGGGCAAUGGGCGCAAGCCUGAUCCAGCCAUGCCGCGUGUGUGAAGAAGGCCUUCGGGUUGUAAAGCACUUUCAGUAGGGAGGAAGGGUGUUGUGUUAAUAGCACAGCAUUUUGACGUUACCUACAGAAGAAGCACCGGCUAACUCUGUGCCAGCAGCCGCGGUAAUAC
rnacentral:rRNA from 1 species